CAUAAAUUUAGUGGGCACCACAAGCCAUUGAGUUUAUCUGUGUGUACUCUGUUUUGGCUUUUGUAGUAAUCAUAUUUCCUAGUUUCUGUAUUUGAUGCUUUGACAUCUGGGUCCUUGCUGACCCUGAGAGUUGUUAGAGACAAUAAAGGACUCACCCAUGAGCAGACAUUUCAGAUGCAAACCAACCAGUCCAGAGCCCAACCUCAACCUUCAUUUGAGGUCUUACCCUCCAGGCCACUAUCCACCUGCCACAAUCACCCCACAGCCAGGUGCCAUACAACGAGGGUCUCUAUGUCCCAAAGCCCACUGGAAUUAUUCACACUAGUCAAUGCUGAGCUACCUGACUGCCUCCUCCGGUCACACAGAAACCACAACAAAGGCUCCCAGCCUCCCCUGCUGGAUUCCUCUGCCUCCUGACCAGCCCUGGUGCUGCCCAUGUGACCUCAUGGAGUGGUGUGAACGGACUUACAUCAGCUACAGAUAAGACUUGGGAGCUUUGAAAACUCAUCUAGAAACAGCAGCAUGAACAACCAUUUUUAUAUUCCUGACCACAAAGCGCACCUCCUUUACUAGAGACAGUCGAAGAAGGGCAAGGAAAGGGCCCAAGGAAAGGAAGGCCAGCCUCUGAGACUCCAUGGGCAUCCAGAGGUCAGCACACUCUUCUCACAACCAAUGGCUGACCAGACAAGGACUCUCCAGCCUUCCGCCCAUCGACUGCCUUCUGGGAUCCUUAAUACAAUCCUACAAACUGAA